rnacentral:rRNA from 1 species
GACGAACGCUGGCGGCGUGCCUAACACAAGCAAGUCGAGCGGAGCAAGUUAGCGGAAGUUUUCGGAUGGAAGAUAAUUUGUUUAGCGGCGGACGGGUGAGUAACGCGUGGAUAAUCUGCCUUCAACAGGGGGAUAACACAGGGAAACUUGUGCUAAUACCGCAUAAGAUCACACUAUGGCAUCAUAGAGUGACCAAAGGAGCAAUCCGGUUGAAGAUGAAUCCGCGUCUGAUUAGCUAGUUGGUGAGGUAAUGGCUCACCAAGGCGACGAUCAGUAGCCGAACUGCGAGGUUGAUCGGCCACAUUGGGAGUGAGACACGGCCCAGACUCCUACGGGAGGCAGCAGUGGGGAAUAUUGCACAAUGGAGGAAACUCUGAUGCAGCAACGCCGCGUGAAGGAAGAAGGCCCUCGGGUUGUAAACUUCUUUGACAGGGGACGAAUAAAUGACGGUACCCUGAAAACAAGCCACGGCUAACUACGUGCCAGCCGCCGCCGUAAGAC